UGGUGGAGCGAUUUAUCUGGUUAAUUCCGAUAACGAACGAGACUCUGGCCUAUUAAAUAGUUCGCCGAUUCCGAUCUGUCGGCGUUAACUUCUUAGAGGGACAAGUGGCUUUUAGCCACGCGAGAUUGAGCAAUAACA
rnacentral:rRNA from 1 species